AAAAAAAAAUAAAAUAAAAAUAAAAAUAAAAGCUUUUCAAAAGGCAAAAUAACAUUCCUGUUAAUAGCAUUUGUGAUUGUCUUUUAUGAAAGUGUCUUUGAAAGGGAAUAUGUAGGUGACAGACAGGUAGUGGCAACAGCAGAAAUACAAGAUACUACAAAAUUCUGAAAAUGAAGAAAGCCCCUUUAUUUUUUUAUUUAAGAUAAAUCGCACAGUAGAUGGAGCACUGUUUCCAGCUUAGGUACACCCAGGAUUAUUGUUUUAAAUUAUGAAAUUUACAUUAGAAACAGGUAAUCACAUCAUUCUGUUAGCUUUUCCAGAAAAGGUGAGGUUGUUGUUGAUAACCUUCAAUAUUGCAAGAUCAGUAUACAACUGUUUGCUCUUUCUUUGUCUCUGAAAUCAAUCCAGAAGUUUUUAUGGUUUUGUUUUGUUUUUGCAGUAGUGAGCAGACUUUUUAAGCAGGACUGUAAAUGGUCAUCUAAAAACAAAAGUUUGUGCACUUUUUUUCUAUUUUCUUCUUAAAGUGUAUCCUCAAUGGGUCCUUUUUAUGUUUUUGUUAACUCGAGUGAUAUCCACUAGGUGGCAGGAACAACCACAAGUUUAGCAGAAUGCUUGAAAAUAUGCUUGUGUUAGUUCAGUAGAGGAAGCAGCACAAGAGUGAUUAAUUCAGCCUGAUCUAUAAUGAACUAUGAGAGUGCAUGUUCUUCAGAGUUUCACUCGAAGGGUCAUCACAUUAAUUGCACGAUUUGAAACCACUUGAAAUAUUUUCAGGCAACCUGGACUAACUCUGAAAUAUAUUUAAUUUGCUAUACCUAUUUACCUAGUACACAGUCAGACUUUCAUUUCAAUUAUUUUAGUAAAUGACAUGUCAAUCACACAUCAUACUUUUUCUUUAUUGUUAUUAAUGUAUUUUUAAUAUUUACUGCUACAAAGAUAGUCAUUAACUUAGUUUACAUAUCAAAAAGCAGAGCAUGGAGACAGCUUUCAUGAAAUACAGCAGUAGGUAGUAGUUAUUGCUUCUUAAAAUACACAUUCUACUUUCAGUGGCAAUGACUCUUAGAGAAAGGAGGAAAUAUGCCCAUUGUAUCAGACCAUACAACCAUUUUACAGUUGAAAGAGCAAAUUAAGACUUGUUCUUGAACAAUGGAACAAAGCAUAAAGUAGAAUUUCUGUUAAUUGGGGCCACCCAAAGCAGAUGAGUUUUGUUGUACUAACUACACCAUACCAGUACAGCUAUGUAGAUAAAGUCCCAGUAGUAGCGGUUAGGAUGAGUUUCUCUCCUGUGCAAUUUCUAUGGUGCUGUGUAGUAAGGCCAUGCCACUAUAUCGUCUUCCAUGUCAGUUAGACAUAAUGUAGAGCUGUGUAUAAGUAUCAGAAUAGUUUGGGUUGGAAGGGACCUUUACAGAUCAAGGUCAACCCCCCUGCCACAAGUGGGGACUUCUUUCACUAGACCAAGUUGCUCUAAGCCUCUUCCAACCUGGCCUUGAACUCUUCCAGGGAUGAGGCAUCCACAGCUUCUCUGGGCAACCUGUGCCAGUGCCUCACUACCCUCAGAGUGAAGAAUUUCUUCCUUAUAUUUAAUGCAAAUCUAUAUCAGUUUAAAACCAUUACCCCUUGUCCUAUCACUACACGCUCUUGUAAAAAGUCCCUCUCCAUCUUUCUUACAAGCCCCCUUUAAAUAUUGAAAGACAUCAAUGAGGUCUCACUGGAGCGUUCUCUUCUCCAGGCUGAAUUCCCCAGCUAUAUCAGCCUGUCUUCACAGGAGAAGUGCUCCAGCCCUCUGAUCCCCUCUGAUCAUCCUUGUGGCCCUCCUCUGGACCUGCUCUAGCAGGUCCUCAUCUUUCUUGGGCUGGGGGGCCCAGACCUGGAUGCAGUACUGCAGGUGGGAUCUCACAGGAGAAUCACAUAACCUCAUUAACUUAAUCUGCUGUGCAAGUUGAGAGAAUCUCAGUCUCCAUCUACAUUAGUAAUUCCUGUGGCAUGCUCAGAGUAGAUCUAUGAAGAGAGGUGAUUGGUGCUGAUGACCCAGUAUCCACAUCAAGUAGCUUUAAAAGCCAGGGGAAUUACUUAAGGUAAGCACUAGUGUGGUCACAUAGACUGGAUGCCCACUAGAAUUUUGAAAAGAAUUUUUUGAGUUAGUUUCAUUCCAAAGCAUUCAAGUUUGCACACACUGAGACAGGUCUGCAGUGCUGAUAAAACUGAGCUGUGAGACUGAUUCAGAACUCUGACCUGAUCUGCCUUUGUCCUUAGCUUUGAUAGAGAUGGAUUGAGGCCAAAUUUCAAGACUGGUUUAACACCUGAUAAAACAGUGACUUGAGAAAAGGAUCCUUGCAAACAAGCCUAAAAGAAACCAGCACUGCAGGAGAGGAACUGGUAGAAAAGUUGAACAUAAGCCAGCACUGUGCCUCUCCAGCUAUGACGGCCUGCCUUAUAAGAGGCUGUUUUAGAAAGAGAGCAGCCAUCUGUGGUGCUGUGUCCUCUUUGAUGAACUCAUCCUUGAGAUAAAUCAUAGAAUCAUAGAAUAUCCCGAGUUGGAAGGGACCCAUAAGGACCAUCAAGUCCAACUCCUGGCACCGCACAGGUCUGCUCAAAGGUUUAGACCAUGUGACUAAGUGCACGGUGCAAUCGCUUUGUAAAUACAGACAGGCUUGGUGCAGUGACUACUUCACUGGGGAGCCUGGUCCAGUGUGCAACAACCAUCUCGCUGAAGAACCUCUUCCUAAUGUCCAGCCUAAACUUGCCCUGCCUCAAUUUAACACCAUUCCCGCGGGUCCUAUCACUGGUGUUUACAGUGAACAGGUCAUCUGCCUCCCCACUCCCCCUCAGCGAGGAAGUUGUAGACCGCAAUGAGGUCCCCCCUCAGCCUCCUCUCCUCCAGGCUGAACAGGCCCAGUGCCCUCAGCCACUCCUCAUAUGUCUUCCCCUCUAGGCCCUUCACCAUCUUCAUUGCCCUCCUCUGGACACUCUCCAACAGUUUGAUGCCCUUUUUGUACUGUUGUGCCCAGAACUGCACACAGUUCUUGAGGUGAGGCCGCACCAGCGCAGAGUAGAGCGGGACAAUCACCUCCCUCGACUGACCAGCGAUGCUGUGCUUGAUGCAUCCCAGGAUAUGGUUGGCCUUCA